AUUGAACGCUGGCGGCAUGCCUUCCACAUGCAAGUCGAACGGUAACGGGCCUUCGGGUGCCGACGAGUGGCGAACGGGUGAGUAAUGUAUCGGAACGUACCUUUCAGUGGGGGAUAACGUAGCGAAAGUUACGCUAAUACCGCAUAUUCUGUGAGCAGGAAAGCAGGGGAUCGCAAGACCUUGCGCUGAUUGAGCGGCCGAUAUCAGAUUAGCUAGUUGGUGAGGUAAAGGCUCACCAAGGCGACGAUCUGUAGCGGGUCUGAGAGGAUGAUCCGCCACACUGGAACUGAGACACGGUCCAGACUCCUACGGGAGGCAGCAGUGGGGAAUUUUGGACAAUGGGGGCAACCCUGAUCCAGCCAUGCCGCGUGAGUGAAGAAGGCCUUCGGGUUGUAAAGCUCUUUCGGCCGGGAAGAAAUCGUAUCAGCUAAUACCUGGUGCGGAUGACGGUACCAGCAUAAGAAGCACCGGCUAACUACGUGCCAGCCGCCGCUGUAACAC
rnacentral:rRNA from 1 species